rnacentral:lncRNA from 10 species
GUAUAAUUUAACUUUAUAUACGUUUGCCUCUUAUUUUUAUACACUGAAGAGAAGCUAUAUAUGUUUGGAUUGUUAACAAAUGUGCUUAUUUCUUGCCACUUUGAAAAUUAUGCUAUAAAGGACAUGUAAUAAGUAUAGAAUGCUGUGGAAGGGUUGUGAAAAGGAGAUUUUAUUUAUCAUGGCCAAAGCUGGCUAAGGUUUGAUCAGUUUAUUUAUGAGAUUUUCAUGGUCUUUGAGCUAUUUUUACACCUCUCUGUAAAUUGUAGGUGAUGGAUAUGCGAACUUUGUCUUUUCUGGUAGAGAUUAACUGACUUCCUACCUCCCUGUGGAAAACCCGGGUUGGUACCUACUUGCAAGUUGGACUGAAUCCUGUUACCUUGCCCAAAUUUUCACUUCUUCCAGAUUCCUUCGAUAUGUGGCUACAACUUUCCAAAUUAACUUUUUUGGUUUAUCGCCCGCUGCCCCAAUGGCAUUCCUGAGGACCAAAACCCCUCUAUGUCCCUAUUGGGACCUUAGGUUGCCAUGCAGUUGGCCAUUUUUCCUAGGAUUUGACAAAGGCCUGCAAACCGAAGCUGGACAACUUGAUAUAAAUCUGGAAGGACUCACCAUCACUGCAGACCAUGCAUGAGAAGGAAUGAUGUUCCUUGUGCCCAGGAAGCUAGGGAGACGUAUGAGAAGAAAGGAUGGCCUGUUAUGUGUAGUGACCUGAUGGAGACAGCCAUUCCACUCAGCCUCAUCCAAGGACAUGGGGACACAACAAGGGACCUCACGAGAUCGCUUUACAGACCAGUGAGAUACAAAGUCCUCUUCCAAAACCCUUCAGGUCACUUAGACACAGAAUCUAUACCAAAGUCCCCACAAUUCAGACCCCUAAUCUCCUUUCCCAGCGGCCUCUGGUCUUUCCACCAAAGGAUAUUUCAAAAAGUGUACCCAUAACUCUCUCCAAACUCCAUGAGGGAGGGUUUUGAAGAUGGCUUUCUAGAGUGCUGGUCUUCAAACUGAGCUCCUUCAGUCUCUAGAGGUCACAAGAGAAACCUCAGUGUCUCCACGUAAGCAAUGGGGAGGCCAAACGGGAUGGAUAGGCUCCUGAUCCCCAGUCCCAAGUCAACCACAGCAGUCUAUCUGUUUUAUAUUUUGGGCUUUUGGGUAAAAUUUUAUCUGCAAAAAGCCUCCAAUGCCAGAAAAACUAUUUUUAAACCUUUGAGCUGGAGGAUGCAUCUCAGUAUCCCUAUUGCAUCCUCACACUCAGGCAGACUUUGAGGGAGGUGGUACAUGGCAGAGGGUGGGAAUGGGCACUGGGCACACAAGUUCCAGGUACCUCACUAACAUUAUUAAAGGUCCGGAUAAGGAUAUAGCCUGUCUCAGUUUAUAGCAACUAUGAAGAAAUGGUUGUCUUGAUAAAAAAAAUUUACUGUUACCUUCUCCCAGUAAAAUAAAACUCAGACCUUCCAAAAUUUGGCCUGGAAGGAGAAUCUCCAGGUAAAGAAUGUGAAUUAGACCUAGAAACACUUUUUUCUGUUCCUCUGGGUUCCAUGUAUCAUUUUCCUCUUUGGAUUUUCUCAAUUGCUCAGUGUUUCUACUCUGCAGCAUUCCCCCACUAUGCCUGACAGGAGAAGUGCUGUUCCUCAGCAUCUAUCUGUCUUCAAACAUCUUUCCAUUUCCUCCUAAAAUGGCAACAAGUCACCUCCACAGAUUCCUCAGCUGAGAUAAGAUUGGAAUUUUCAAGAAACAAUUACAUAUUAAGGGGAAGUAAAAUGGAGGGGGAGUACAAAUCAUUUAAAUGAUGCAACUUUCAAGCACAUGGCUCUGAUCCACCUGAACUUUCAAGCAUGGGAGUCUUAUUCCACCUGAACUGAAUUAUUCCCCAGGGAUUUCACCCCUUCUCAUUUCAUGUGGGAUCCAUGAGUGGCUGUAAGCUAGCUAUCCAAAGGGCCAGAUCACCUCCAGAGCCUUUGCUUAAGCCCUCACUUCAAAACUCCCAUCCUGUUGCCACCCCCGCCCCCAGGAACUUGACUCUUUCCAUGGACAAAACCAAAAAUCAGUCAUCUCUUCUUCCUACCUAAGGUUGGUCCGGAGGCACAUUUCUUCUGCAGGGAUUGGCAAGGAAGAUUUCAGUCUUCAAGGUAGAUUUUUCACUAUAAACAUUGAUAUGACUUUAUCCUUUCAGGUCAGAGUCUAUCAUUGCCUUAAUUCUUUUAAAACCAGAUGGGGAAAUUGUAAAUUGAAAUAUAAUGUUUAUGAAGAGCAUUAUAUUUGGCCUGAAGGCUGUGAGAGGUAGGGUGAAAAUGUUUUUAUGAAUCCCUGGAACUUGAAGUUUAUCUUAAUCCCUUACCCUCUGUCCAGGUCUGUUGCUGGGCCUGGGCAAUGGAUGCGUUUUUCAGUAAUAAAGAGAAGAAUUUGAAGUUCCAACAGAUGAUUCAGGAAAUGAGGAAAGAUGACUAGGGGGUGGGUGCUACAUAAAGAAGGAAUUUGAAGACAGCAGGAAUAUCUCAAAAUGGACUUUGGCAUGACUGUUAUAAAUUCUUCCUCUAACUCCUCUACAGAAUCUUUAAUAAAGUCUACAAUGCUCUUUUGUACAUUUGUGCGAGUGAAUUCUCUUAGGCAUUGACUUUCAUGUCAGGUUGGGUCAUUCUUGGUGCAACACAAAGGCGGCACUGGAGGGAAACAAAGUGUGGAGGCAAAUGGGCCACGAGACUUUAAGUCCUCAGGAAACAGAUGUCAGGGGUGGGGGAAUGGUUUCCCCAGGCUGUGAAACGGAGAUGUGAGGCUUGUGUUUGGCUGCAACUUGUGGGUCCAGCAGGCUCUAGCUGACCAGAACUACAACAUGAUAAAUUGUCAUUUCAAUCCUUCACUGGCUACCCAUUGUCUAAGUCCAUACUCCUUGGCAGGAGAGGUGCUGCUCCUCCAAACUUUCUUCCUUCAAACAUUUUUUCCAUUUUCCUCUAAAAAUGGCAACAGUUCCCUUUCACAGAUUCAAUAGCUAAGACUGGAAUUUUCAAAACAACUAAGUAUUGGAGAGUAAAAGGGGAAAAAAAGUAUAAAUCAUUUAAAUGAUGCUACCUCCUGCAAUAGGGCUCUGAGUCUUUGUAUGGAUGAUACAUAAAGCCCUUUCAAAUCUGGCCUGCCACCUCUCCAUUGUCAUUUCUCCCAUACACUGCCUUGCCACUGCAUGCUACAGCAUUACCAUUUGCAAGAAACCUAAAUGACGACACUCUAACCCCACCAAGGAAAACAAAUUACUCUUCUCUGUCUCUUCCGAGCAUAGCAUUCCAGAUCAUUUUGCAUAAAUAUUUAUUGACAUGCUUGGCUCUCCUAAAAGAUUUUGUGAGUUUCCAACCCCAGAACCCACUGAGUGCUUAAAAAGUAGUAGAAUCUCAAUGAAUGUUUGUUGAAUUAAAACGAUUCCAAAGAUUGAUGUUAAAACAGAAAAGGAACAGACAGACAGAGUUGGAACGGCAAUUCUGCCACUUACUGGCUUGACAACUUUGGACCAGUUCCUUAAUCUCUCAGUGUCAACUGCUUCAUCCAUCAAUAAUGGUACUUUGUAGAGAGAAGGUGAAAGCAUAUAAAGUAUCUGGUCCCAGUGGUCGCUCUUAAUUAGUAGGCCAGGGGCUUCCCAGAUUUUUCAUUAUCAGCAAUGAAAUAUUUCAUAGAACCAGAUAAGAGCAGAGCUACUGUAACUUAGGGGUGCAGCCUCAGAGCCCCACCUGCUUAGCUACACCCACAUCUUGACCUACUCACUCCCACCCCAGAAGAACCCCAGGACUCCCAGAGCAUGGAGUAAAAUCUACUGUCUUAAAACAGCAUGGGAGGCAUACAACUAGUAGUAUGUGAGAUGAUUUUAAGUGGC